GCAAACACAAUCGAAGCAUGAAUUGAAUUUUUCCAAAAGAGAGCAAUCCCACCAUCCAUACCCUACGGUGGGAACGUUACAUAGUUAGGGAAGCUUAAUCAUCAGCAACUUUUCUGAUCUUAUCAUCUUGCUGUUUAGUCUCUAGUAGGCAUAACAUGUCCGAGAAAUACCUCCUUUGUAUUUCCUUAAGGCGUCGAACUGUAAGGUCUAUGCCCAGACCUUUACAGUUCCAGCAGGCUGUAAUCAUGGUGGCUGUGGUUGUUUAGGGCCUACCGCGCCUCUACACUGGGUGCUCAGGGAUGAGCUGCUGGCCUUGCCAACUUCUCGGACAGACUAUUUUGGGGAUGCUUCUGUUUCAGUGUUGUCUAUGGAUUCUUCUCUCUUUUGUUUACCUCUUUCCUGAGCCAUCUGUUCUUGAGUCUGGAUUGUUGCUUCCAUUAUUUCAAGGUGUGGAUGGAUGUUGAUCGAAUAUCUUCUGUAUUCCUCACUCCCUGGGAUGUCUCCUAUGGCAUUCUCAAAGAUUGGAAUAGGAUUAAACAAUUCACUAUUGUUCAACUCACCACUAAAUAGCCAUAAUGGAGAUUGGCUUCAUUUAGAUCAUCUUCAUCUAGCGCGUUAUGAUCAUGAUCAAUGUCAUCCAAUGCUUCCUCUUUGUUAUCCAUGUCCUCUGCUUGAUCAUUCUCCUCUACUGCAUAUGGCUCCUCUUCAUCCUCAAUUUCACGAAUCACCACUCCGAGAUUGUGGUUUUCUGGUGGGGGGAUAUCUGGUUUAUCACCAUCGUCAAAAUAGGGCUUCUUGCCACCGUUUUGAAUGAGACAGGCACCCGUAUCGUGUGUAAGGAGGCCACAAACUUCGCAAAAACCUCUUAGGUGUUCGUAUCAAAACCGAAGGAGGGUGUUGAUUCUGGCUUGGAACUGGAAAUUACGCUGAAAGCAGAGAGGAGUUGUUAUGUCGUAGUGAAUUUGCACACGAAAAAACUCAAAACGAGCCGCCACUUCUGCAUCAUAGUGAACUUCCAUCAAACUGCCUAGUGCACGACCAACAUGUGCAACAACAUUGUGAUUGAGAUACUGGUAAGGGAUUCCUCGGAUUUGAAUCUAGAAAGGAAUGAAGUCAAUGAGAGGAGGAUCCUGGUGUGGAAUCCAACGUUGGAGAAGCAGCAUACGAUUGUUGAAUGCCCAAGGACCUCGUCGUAGCACAUUCUCCAGGGAUUCUUCGGAGGGGAAGAUUAAUUGGAAUUGGUUGUCCGAUAUUAUCCUUUCAUGGACCAGACCUGAUUGUCCCCAUACUCGUGGCAUUGAAGCAAUAAUGGAUUGUAGAUUCGGACGUCUUGGCUGGUCUCCCAAUAAGGAUAAAGCGGUUCUUCGCUUCCGCCUGAGCCACCACUUCCUCUGGAAUAUCAAUUGGUUCAUCUUCAGCCCCAAGGUUGAUAUCCUGAACUGCACGGCAUAAAUUAUCUCCCAUUUUGGAAAGGAUUUUGUAAUAACGAAAAGGGAAUAAUAAGACAAGAGCAAUUGCUAAGAUUGAAAUUGAAGGAGAUUCAUCUUCAGGUCAGGGUUUAUAUAGAAGGGGAUUCCAUAUAACCACAGUAGGAGCGUCACAUCGAAGUGGAUACACAUGACGCCGAAAAAUUCGUAGAUAACCAUCGUUAGACUUAGUAACCGCUGAAAGAGAGAGAAAAUUGUCUUUUUGAUCUCCCCUCUCUUCUCUCUUCUUUAGUAUUUGUAAGAGAAUCUCCGAGUGGAGAUGCUCUAAGGAUCAAAGUUGUGUCCGUACCUGAUUGGGUGGAGAGAAAAAUGAUUUUUUUUCUUUGCCGCAUUUGUAUCUCUCUCUCUCUCUCUCUCUCUCUCUCUCUCUCUCUCUCUCUCAUUUUCGUGAUUCACCAUGUAAUUGUUGGGUGCCAGAAAUUGAAAGAUAUAUAAUGGUUUCAAGACAAGAUCCAUACGUAGCGGCACAAGACAACGUACUAGAACCUGCACAGAGAUACGACGACUGCACCUAGACUCUUGCAGACUAAAAUUGGGAGGUAUGAACAUUAGCUUUUACUUGUUUUGCUUCCUUCUGCAUUGAGUAUCAUGUUUGGUAAUCGAUAGUUGCAUAAUGCACAUUGGAUCUAGCUCAAUUUCAGUCUUCUCUCUCUGGCUCUCUCUGAAGAAUCCUUAGAGGAGCAUUUCGAUGGAUUGGCUUUGAUUUCUCCGGUUUCUUCUUUUAUCAUCUUUGGUUCUACUCUCAUCUCCCCCUUCUACAGUCACCGCCGGUGAUAUCGUUCAUCAAGACGAUUUAGCUACCAAGAAACCUGGUUGAGAGAAUAAAUUCGUUUUUGUACUCCUCUCUAACUCAAUGUACUUCGUAUUCAUCUACUUCUUAUUGACUAAUUUGGAUUAACAAAAUCGGAUCUUUCUAAUUAUAUGAUGUUGAAAUUUUGUGAUUAGUUUAGUGAUUUUGAGAGUUAAAGUUUCAACCUUUUUAGCUUUAUAGUUGAUCUAAGUUGUGGAUUCCUCAAUUCUGAGUUUAAGCUUUAAACUCUUAGUUGUUUUACU